CCUACGGGAGGCAGCAGUGGGGAAUAUUGCACAAUGGGGGAAACCCUGAUGCAGCCAUGCCGCGUGUGUGAAGAAGGCCUUCGGGUUGUAAAGCACUUUCAGCGAGGAGGAAAGGUUGGCAGCUAAUAUCUGUCAGCUGUGACGUACUCG
rnacentral:rRNA from 1 species